rnacentral:rRNA from 1 species
CCUUAGAUGUUCUGGGCCGCACGCGCGCUACACUGAUGCAUUCAACGAGUUCCUACCUUGGCCGAGAGGCCUGGGCAAUCUUUUGGACUUGCAUCGUGAUAGGGAUAGAUUAUUGCAAUUAUUAAUCUUGAACGAGGAAUUCCUAGUAAACGCAGAUCAUCAAUCUGCAUUGAUUACGUCCCUGCCCUUUGUACACACCGCCCGUCGCACCUACCGAUUGAAUGGUCCGGUGAAGCCUCGGGAUUGUGGUUAGUUUCCUUCAUUGGAAGUUAGCCGCGAGAACUUGUCUAAACCUUAUCAUUUAGAGGAAGGAGAAGUCGUAACA